CAAAGCAGCAGAUACAAAAAUGUAGCAGCUAUUGCUACUCUAAUCAUUAUUUUCACCUUUUGUGAGAUAGUAAUAGUAUAGACGUUUAAAAAAAUUGUCUCUCUGCUGUCUCUACAUCUGAAUCUCUGGCUUGCUCAGUGGAGAUAAAUCCUCAUAAUUAUAUCUAGAAAUUAGACUGGACCUCAUACUCUGGCCAAUAUUAUAUUGAAUUUAAUCCAGAUGUCUUGGUUGUAAAUCUGUCUAGUCACAAGAAUCUGCUAUCUUUUCUGGACUGUUUGGGAUGCUGAGUUAUCAAAAAUCAUUAUAAAAGCAACGCAUCACAUGAGUGCCCCUCCCAUCCCAACCCAUCUCACUACCCAGAGGUGAUUACUUAAGAAUACUUCUUCAAGUCUAAUGCAGAAUAAUACUCUUACUCAUUGGAAUCAUGACCACCUGGAAUCUUAGUGAUCUUGGGUACUGACCGUGCAGAGAUCUAGUACCACAGUUACUUCUAAAAUGUGUUGCCAAAUGUAGAAAUCUCUAUCCCCAUUGACUUCUCAGUUGAAAAUUAGUUCAUGACCUAGAGACUGAGAGCACCCUGGCUGUGCUUUCAGAGCAGGAAUCCUUGGAUAUAGCUGUGGAAUGAGCAGCGUUGGAGGAUUUGAGAAAAUCCUGGACCUGAAAUGCAAGCUGGCCUGUGUUUUCCUGAUGUGCACGGUGACUUUUAUUGUG